rnacentral:miRNA from 1 species
UGACAGAAGAGAGUGGGUACACUGUAGGCAUCACUGGAAUUCAAUCUUACUGGAUACCAGUGGCCCUAGAAGCACCAGAGAAAUGAAGCUAGAGAAGUCAGC